rnacentral:rRNA from 1 species
UGUCUACGGCCAUACCACCCUGAACGCGCCCGAUCUCGUCUGAUCUCGGAAGCUAAGCAGGGUCGGGCCUGGUUAGUACUUGGAUGGGAGAAACAAAGUGGUCAUCACAA